rnacentral:tRNA from 1 species
GCCCGAAUGGCGGAACUGGCAGACGCGCUAGGUUCAGGUCCUAGUUCUGGUUAUACGGAGUGGAGGUUCGAGUCCUCUUUCGGGCA